GUCAGACUCUGGCUGGUGGCGAAGGGCGAUUGAACCAGGAUAUGGGCAGCCUUGACCCUUAAGGACUGGAAAAAGGCUCGGCGGAGGAAGAGUGGAGGCUCCGCCUCUGUUUCUUAGCCUGAGCCUGGACUUCCUGUGUUUGGACUGGGUAAUGGUUAAGAAGGAAAGUCACCGCAGCUAGGGGCGCUUACACCUGUCUGCACCUCCUGGUUUAUAGCCUGGGCACUGACUGGAUAGGGCCACUUGGCAAGGAACUUCCUGUUCCUGGGUGAGGAGUGUCCAGUCAGAAGUGUUCCCGUGUUUCUAUAGAGAGCAGCCAGAAGCCGGGAAGCCCUGUGUGAACGAGAUACAGAGAUUUACCUGCCUGAGGUAAGGAAGAUCAUGCUGAGAUGGAGGGCAGCUGGAGAGAUGUCCUGGCUGUGCUGGUCAUCCUGGCUCAGCUGACAGCUUCCGGAUCCAGUUAUCAGAUCAUAGAAGGUCCUCAGAAUGUAACAGUCCUAAAGGACUCAGAGGCUCACUUCAACUGCACCGUGACUCACGGCUGGAAGCUUCUCAUGUGGACUCUUAACCAAAUGGUGGUGCUGAGUCUCACCACCCAAGGACCCAUCAUCACCAACAACCGCUUCACCUAUGCCAGUUACAACAGCACUGACAGCUUCAUCUCGGAGUUGAUCAUCCAUGAUGUGCAGCCCAGUGACUCGGGAUCCGUGCAAUGCAGCCUGCAGAACAGCCAUGGGUUUGGAUCUGCCUUCCUCUCAGUGCAAGUCAUGGGGACCCUGAACAUUCCUAGCAACAACCUUAUAGUCACUGAGGGUGAACCCUGUAAUGUGACUUGCUAUGCCGUGGGCUGGACCUCACUCCCGGAUAUUUCCUGGGAGCUUGAGGUUCCCGUAAGCCAUUCGAGUUACAAUUCCUUUCUGGAGCCGGGCAACUUUAUGAGGGUCUUGAGUGUCCUGGACCUCACACCACUGGGCAACGGGACCUUGACUUGUGUGGCAGAGCUGAAGGACUUGCAGGCCAGCAAGUCCUUAACUGUCAACCUGACUGUGGUUCAGCCUCCACCUGACAGUAUUGGAGAGGAAGGCCCAGCACUGCCGACCUGGGCCAUCAUCCUGCUGGCAGUGGCCUUUUCCUUGCUCUUGAUCCUGAUCAUUGUUUUGAUUAUAAUAUUCUGUUGCUGUUGUGCCUCCAGGAGAGAAAAGGAAGAAUCUACUUAUCAAAAUGAAAUAAGGAAAUCUGCAAACAUGAGGACAAACAAAGCAGAUCCGGAGACAAAGUUAAAAAGUGGAAAGGAAAACUACGGGUACAGUUCGGAUGAGGCAAAGGCUGCACAGACUGCAUCUCUCCCUCCUAAAUCUGCUGAAGUCAGCCUUCCAGAAAAACGCAGCAGUAGCCUUCCUUAUCAGAACAAGGAGACAGAAUGGGGAUCCUCUGAGAUGCUCAGAGAUGCUCAUACCCACAGGCAAGCCGGCACCAGCAUCCGUCCUAUCCUCUCCCAGUGUAGCCCAGUGAAUACCCUUCACCCUGGCAGUACCGAGAGGUCGACUCAUGGAAUGGUGGAUGCUGAGAGGUCCAAGGUUCACAACAAUCUGAAAAACCAGGAGGGAGUUGAUGACAUGGCUGCAGCCUGUGGUGCUUAACCUUGAUUGACUACUUGACUAGAUUUGGAAUCACCCGGGAGACACUCUGAAGGGUAUUUUCAAAGAGGUGUAACUAAGGUAGAAAGAACCCCAGAUAUUGGCAGUGCCAUCCUGUAGGCUGGUCCAGGCUGAAUAAAAAGGGACAAAGAAGAACACAUGAACAUUCACAUUCAUCGUUGCUCCCUGACUACACCUGCGCUGUGACUGAAUGCCUCAUGCUCUGGUUAUCGUGACCUUUCUGCUGUGGUGACUUGAAUCCUGAGAGUCCAUAUAAAAGGAAAAACAUGUGUCUGAACUUCUAAGACUUAGGAAGUUUCUUUCUCAAGCUUUAUGAAUGACUGCAUGGGCCAGAAAGGGAUGCUGUCCCUAGAGAUGCUGUCCCUAGAAAGAAGUCCACAGAAGACCUGGCAGGUUGGCCAUUGUGGAAAGAAAUACUAUAACACCUUUUGUUGUGCUGCUGCUUCUGUGGUGAGUGUAAGUCAUGUCCUGAUUGGUCAUAGGGUGGAGGAAGCAUGGUUUGCUGGUCCCAUCCAGUUGGUCUUGGUGCCUCACCUUCAUUGGGUACCCUGUCUCUCUUGAUUCCACACUGGCUCCACAUGGUGGGGUUCUUGGAAAUGAGGCUCUUCCAGGGAGAAAACAAACAUGUCCUUGUUAGUACAGGGAGGGCUUCUGGGGCUGCCUUCUGGGGAUGUCCAGUUUAAAGACGUUACUUUGAGGACCAAGACAGAAGUGGAAGGUAUUAGAUAUUAAGGGUAGAGAUUUCAUAGUAUGCACACUCAGCUGAGCUGCUGGGGCAGGGUGUAUGCAGAACUUCAGAAACAGCCACAACCCACAGUGUGAGAAGUCACAAAGGGCAGGAAGGUGUAGGCUCACACAGCCUAGCCACUUACGCUGUGCCAGUGUGCUUUGAGCCCCACCCUUUCUGGGGAGCUUGGCAGCCUUCUGGGUUCCCUUCAGGUAAACCAUACAGUAAACCAGCAGGAAGAUAACAGCCAGCAAGACGCCCACUAUAACGCCCAGUAGGAUGGUGGUAUUGGAGAUUUCUGCACACACUAAGGAGAAAGCAUGAACCAUCAGUAGUGUGAGUCUUACCCAAAAGUCUACAGUCUCUGUAUGUCACCCAGUCCUCAGAAGGACCCCAUUCCAGAGAGUUGCUGUCUGCCCCACAACACAGGUAGACAAGAGAACAUAGCCUCAGCCCCCAUCACAAUCAAGGCCAGUCCCUGUGACCUUCAAUACUUAAAGGCCAUUGGACUUGGUCCCUUAUUCACAGAGAAGGUUAGGAACAUGCUUGAAGGACCCUAAGCCAUCUCACUGCACAGUGGAAAUGGAGACCCCUGGGGAGGUCUCUGCUUAUAGCCUGAGGACAGGUCCUCAGCUUCAGGUUCCUCACAGUCUGUGCCUCCCUCCCUACUCUCACGGGUUCCCAAAUUGAGGAAGGGUUGGGGAACAGUGGACUCCAAGUCUCUGUCCUGUAAGUGUCACUGUGUACUGCAGGCUGCAUAUUCUGUGGUUACCCGAGUGACUUUGCUACCUUUGUCCCUUCAACCCUCUAAGUGUGGAUGGCAUGGGGAACUAGAAUUCUGGGGUUGCACACCUAAGACCUGUGAGGUCAUCUUGAUUUUUGCUCAAAUGCAGCAUCUUUAACAUCUUUGGCCAUUGUUAUUUAACACUUCUUCCAACCGCUCUAAUCCCCAACUUCCCAUCCUAUCUGCUGGAGAACCCUGGACUUUUAAACUCUUACCAGGUCCUCUACUUCUAUUCAACCAUCUUUAUCCAAGUAUAUAGUGUCUGUCCUUCCAGACUCAGUCUGUCCAUCUCCUAUCUGUUAUUCCUGACCAAGCAGUGAUACUGGAUAGGAGCAUGUCUAUCUCAGCUCCAGACAGGACUGUGUCCUCUUGGUCCUAGACAGUACAGACCCACAUUGUACUGACUGACAGGGUAGUGUACACCUGACAGGGAAGCAACCACCUGACACCCUGAGAGGACUAUUUCCUGGCUCCUGAUAGGAUUAUAUAACCCUGUACCCUGUCAGGACUAUGUCACUAUUAUAUCUACCUGGUCCCUGACAACAUCAUGUCUACCUUGUUUCCUGAGAGUUCUGUCACUGAAAGGGCUGUGUCUACCCUGGAUGCCAGCUGGGAUUAAACAAGACAAUGUGGAUGUUGCCAGUCUUCUUCUGGGAACACCUAAUGGCUCCCUGGCAUGCUCAGGAACAGAAGACUUCCUUGUUCCAAUGAUCCCAUUUUUCCACAUGAGAAGGGGCCUCUCACCACGGGGUCUUUGUAUCAUUUUAACUGCUGUUGUAGCAUCACCCUGUGCAGGGCAUUGACUGACAGGACCACGUCAGGAGUCUUUUCUCUUUGGAACAUGAACCCUGUGAAGACCAGGUCACCAUCUCUAGUUCGCAGACAGGGACCUGAGCUUAGUAGGGCCCAAAAGAGCUGUGGGAAGAAGUACCCCCUACUUAUCUGAGGCUCCCCAUAGGUGUCAUAAAAUAGCUAACAGGCACCAGCCCUUAGGGCCCUCCCAUCAAAUGGGAGAUGGCCUCACUAUGUGGUGGGAUGCUUCAGUGGUCUCCUGCUCAACACAUACUGGAGCUACCCCAGAGGACCCUGUCUGUUGUCCCUCAGUGCAGGGCUAAGUAUGGCUAUGGAUGCCAGCCUCCCUGUAUUAUAUACCUGCCCAGGUAUCCUGGAUAGCUCUCCUCUUGCUGCUGGGUGUCCUUACCCAUUGGAGAAGAGACCUUCCCUCUGCAGCCCUCUCGAUAUCUGCAGAGACACCCGUGGCCAGAGUUCUUAUCACCAUGUCCUACCCACAACAGAUCCAGCCUUACCUAGGCUCUCCUUUAUGUAGAUGGAAUUGAUGUCACUCUGGUCUGGCUGAUAUAGAGUGUAGGUUGUCCAACAGCCCUCUGAGUCCCGUUCAGUCAUGCAGGUCUUGUUACUGAAGGGGGUGUUGGAAAACAGCAGAUUCCAACACUCUCUGCAUUUUAUUGCACUGUUGUCUUUCAAGCACCUGGCACAGGAGCUGAGGAGAAAAUGGGAAUUAGUUUGAUGGAAUGAGGUGGUAAGGGGGGGGGCUCAAGAGCAUGAGACAAAUGCCACAUGAAUGGGCAAGGUGCACAGGUGUGUGAGGACACGCAGGUGUGUUGGGGUCUCAGCACUAUGCAAAGAUGCAUGAGUGUGUCAGGAUGCACAGGUGUGCAAGACUACAUACGUGUCAGGCUGCAUGGGUGUGUUAGGGUGAAUGAUGCAUGAGUGCAUGCUGCUGUGUGAGAGUGCACUGGUGACUAAGUGUGUAUUGGUGUGUAAGGAUGUGUAUGUGUCAGGGUGUAUGCUGUGUGAAUGUAUACUUGUAUGUUAGGGUACACUGGUGAACCAGGGUGAACAGAUGAGCAAGGCUGUGUGAAUUUGUCAAGGUUCAUGUUAUGUGAGUACAUACUGGUGUGUCUGGGUGCACUAGUGAAUAAGUUGUAUUGAUGUGUAAGGCUAUGUGUGUACUUAUAUGUUAGGGUGCACUGUUGGAUCAGUAUGCACUGGUGUGCAAGACUUCACAGGUGUGUCAAGGUGCAUAGUGUGUGAGUGUAAACUGGCAUGUCAUGCUGCCUUAAUGAUUAAAGGGUGCAGGUGUGCAAGGGUGAACAGGUGUCUCAGGGUACAUGGGGUUGUCAAGAUCCACAGCAUGAAAUAUGUGAGGAUUUCCACAUACAAAUUGAUCCUGUAAUGAGAGUCCUAGGCACCCUGAGAGGCCAUCAGAGCAGGGCAAGCAAGGGUGGAAACAGACAGUGGUCCUGGGAGUGGACGAAGGGCAGAGCCAGUUGAGACUGGAUCCAAAGGCCCAAGGGAAGUAAGACUCCCCUCAAAAUAAGGCCUCCCUGCUGAGUCUGCUGAAUCUUGCUGAAAACUAUGGUGUGAUGAUGUCCCUGGGAAUUCCAAGGUAGCCUGGCAGUGAGGCCAGUAUGGGUUGUAGGGACACUCACUAGUACUCGGAGCAGCGAUGGAAAUAGCCAGGACGCUUCUCACACAGUGGUGGCUGGUAGCCCGGGUCACAGAGGCAUCUGUUACAGUAGCAUCGACCAUGGCCACUGCACUCCACCAUCCUGUUGUUCAGACAGCCUGAAGUGGACAUCCGGCACUGGCAGGCUGAGCCCACGAAGCCGUAACGACAAAAGCAUCGGCCACAGGAGCAGUGGCCUCUUUCUGGAAAACAACCGGGGUUGCCAGGACUCAUCUUCCUGAAGGCAGAGGCUGUGGUGUUGACUCUGCUCCUGGCACUGGCACUCACACAGGGGAAGGACCCGCACGGUCACUGAAUCCAUGAAGCCCAGUGCCUGGAUGAAAAAGAACUGCUCCCGGAAGCACUCUGAAGCUGUGAUGUUAACCUGGAAGGUGACCUAUAGGGGAAUGAUGGGGCUCAGGUUGGGGCCAUGAUGAUCAGGGUCACAGCCCUGCUCCUUUCCCCCCCAGAGGUGUUGAGGGACCAAAAUGAUGUCAUAGGAGGGAUGGUAUGGGUUCUCUCUGAAGCAGUGGAAAGAGGAUAGGAACUGGAUUUUGGGAUGGCCUACAAACCAGGCUGCAGGGAGGUCAGACCCCUGUCCCAACCUACAGCCCUCAUUAACCACAUCCAAGUUCUGCUGCGAAUCAGACUAGGGAGCUGAUGUUUUUCAUUAUAUAUACAGCAGGGGGUUUUACAGUGAGUUUGUGGGGCACAUUUUCCCAUGUGCUGUACCCAUAAGUCCAGUGCGCUAAGAUACCAGAAUGUCUUAGGGAGGAUGAUGUCCUUUAUCUAACCCAGAGUAAAUGUAAGGGUCCCAGAUAGCAAUAGCACACACAUGUAGCACCAGAAGGGCAGCUCUGGCUAUAGAAUGUACUGGUUUACAAAGUUAAGCCACAUCUAAAAUAAAUUUAAACCACAUAGUACUUGAAGAAAGAGUAGAAAUGUCAGUAAAGGCGAGGAACAAACAUCUGAAAAUUAGAAUAAAAUCAAUCAAAUUCCUGUGUGGAUCACCUGGCAGGAGGGGGAUGGAUGCUAAGAACCGGCAAAGAAACAUAGGCUCUGUCUGGUGUGAGAUGCUAGUUCACAGGCAAAAAGAAACAUGGAAAGCUUGGGUAACAAACGUGUAUCUGGGAUGUUAGGGAAAUAGUUCAUGGUUCUGCCUUGAGCUUUGAUGUUUCCAUCCAAAGAUAUAAUGUGAAACAAAAGUAAGAAAGCCUGACUCAACACCGUAUUGUUUGUAUCUCUCUGUGAGUCUAGCACUUGCCCCCAGGGGUCCUGUCUUUGCAGGACUGGUGCACUUAGCUGGGCUAUUCCAGGAGAGGUCUGGAGUUUGCUGGGGAGGUGCUCUCCUGCGCCAUAACAUUACUGCAAUGAUAGAACCUGGGCUCUGCUAAGUGGUGUUUAAAGGGAGAAGGAGCUGCCUGCUGGCCACCAUAGCUUUCGCUGAGAUAUUGCGAUAUCUGGCGGGCCCUGUAGCAUGCUGGGAUGGGAACCCCAGGCUCACCUGGUCAUUGAUCUGUACACCACUGCAGUCCCCGCUGGGUUUGCCUGGAUUUGAUGUUCCAUUGCUGCAGUAGGAGUCGUAGGUAACUUUCAGGAUGCUGGGGAUGGUGCUGUGGUUCAGCACAACAAUGGAGGAGAGUUUCUGUGGGCAGACAGAAGCCAUACUCAGGAGUUACAGGUCCAGCUGUCCCUGUCCCUAAGUACUGUGAUACUUCUCACGUCCCUCCUGUUUGUGUUGAUGACACAGACACCCACUGGGAGCCCAGUGAAUGUGUCAGGAUAGGACAGCAGGCUGAUGCCAUGGCUACUGGCAGGUGACCAGCAUAGACACAGCUGUGAUCCCUGUGAGGUCCUGCUGCUGAUCAGUUCCAGGGUUAGCAGAGAAGGGGGCACAGACUGUUGAAGCGAUGAGAGAUGAGAUAUAGGUGGAAGGAGAAGGGACAGGUGACAUCUGGUGUGUAUGUAAUGAUGAUGUCACUGGAGUCAACCCUGUGAAGACAGAGCUAGACAUGACUGGGCAGUGACCAGGUACAGGAGCCUUCUUGGGGCACCUGAGGCUCACAAGGCUAGAGAAGGAAAUGAGACCUUUCCUUGAUCAGUAACAGCACACACUUGUGCUGCCAGCCCGCAUAGGAGCCUAGGUCAGAAUUUGAGAAUACCUGUCGCCUGUGAAUUUCUGUUAUUUGUAGGGACUAAAUGGGUUCUGAGCAGUGAGCAGUGUUUGGUGCAUGCCAGUGUCUGCCAGAACCCUGGGACUCCAAGGGAAUGAACCUGGAUGCAGUUGUACAGACUACAUACCAGGGAGGAGGGUGGACUCAGGGUCUGUCUGAGGCAGGGUUAGGGGCUGGCAUGCAUGAGGUUCUGUGCUGAUUAGCUUUUUGUCAUCUUAACACAAACCAGAGUCACCUUAGAAGAGGCGACCUCAAUUGAGGAAUUGCCUUUGUCAGAUUGUGCAUGUCUGUGGAACAUUUUCUUAAUUGCUAAUUGAUGCAGAAGGGUCCUGCAUGCACUCUGGGUGGUGUCAUCCCUGGCUAGGUGGGCUUGGGUUAUAUAAGAAAAGUAUCUGAACAAGAUACUGGGAGCAAGCCAGUAGGCAGUGUUCCUCCAUGACCUUAGCUUCAGUUUCUGCCUCCAGGCUCCUGCUUAAGUUCCUGCCUUCCUGUCCUUUGACAAUAGACAGCAAGGUUUAAGCUAAAUAACAUCCUUUCCCCCAAGUUACUUUAACACAGUAAUGAACAGACCCCCCCCCCCAAGGCUGUAUACAGAGGGUGCAAAUCUACUGAGGUGGUUUCUGAGGUCUCUCCAGCCUGUGAGGCAGUGUGUGCUCUUUCCUAGCCAUCUGCCCUCUUAUAUCUCCAUAGUGGCUGACAAGGAAGAGCCCCAUUUGAGUAGGGCUUGGAACUCAUGUUUCAGGGAGAGUCAGAUGAGAUCUGGGGUGCUAUACACCACUAAGAGGAGCUGCCCUGUGCUCUGUGUCUGUCUAGAAGACUGUGAGGUGCCUGGAGGGGCUGCAGGGGACAACAACGGGGUUUCACAGGUCAGGGCUUUGCUAACUGUGGAGUUCUGAUCAUCUCAUGAAGUUUCUCCAGGAGACUCACACUGUAGGCGUUCCUGAUGAGCUGUGCCACGUUGCUGGAGUCAUCUGACAGCUCCCCAAUGGUCAGCUUGGGGAUGAAUGUGGUAAGUUUCUGUUGGGAGAGAAGAUCAAGCUGGCACAUGGUGCCAUCAACUCCUCCAUGCUCAUAAAGGUCUGUGACACCCAGAGGGUCUCCUAAACUCUCCAGGUGGCUAGGAUGAUGCUCAACUGACUCCUGACUUCAAGACACAGAAUGAGCACCAGCAGCAUGCUGCCAACAUCUGGCUCAGAGCACCCUCAUGUCUAUGGUAUAAAUGCUCCUGGCAGUCAGUUCUAGUGACAAGCUGGUGAUGUUACUGACAGGCACCAUGCACCUGGCUCACCAUGGGCCAGUAUUUUCACCAUGUCAGGGAGGUAGGCAGAAUCCCACACAUGGCACAUGAGGGCAUAGAUGUCACUAGAGUGUGGUGAGAUCACAGGGAGAGGGAUGUCCUGUGCAUGAUUCAGUCUAAGCGAUCUCAUUUCAAUGGUGGCAGUGUUACACAAUCCCAUGACCCCGUGACAAUCAGCUCUGGCAGGAGUGAUCCUAUUCCCAGAGAGUCCCUGGAGGUGGCUCAGCCUGAGCACCUGGACAACAGACAGGCUAGCAUCUUCCCUACAAUUGCCGUAGUGUCAUCCAAAGAUGGUGUAUUUCAUGAAGAAGAAGAAGAAGAAGGAAUGUUGCCACCCUCUCCAGGGACAAACUACUGAUAGUCAAGCCACUUCUCUACCCAGCAUUAUCCUAUGACUCUCUAAAAUGGAUUCUGUCCUCUCUGUGAAGCACAGAAGGCUUGUUACAGCUGGGCCACCAACCUUCUCUGCAAGUCACUUCCACUUGUCUUGGCCCUGGGACCACCCUCCUGAAAAGUUAGGUUCUGCCUGGUGAAAGUUGCUUUCUCCAAAGUCCAGAAGCAUGCACAAAGAAGGCUCUUGUGUGUAACAUCCUCAUAUGCUUCCCUGUGGCCUUGACCAAUCUCCAAGGAACAGAGGCUUAUGAUCUCCCAAGGCCAGCAAAGUAGUAGGGGUAAGUCUUCUAUCUGUGGUAUCCUUGCUUGUAACAAUGCUGUCUGUGGGAGUGUGAUGCUUUCCACAGACAGCAAAGAAUUUGGACCCUCUACAACUCUAGGAGGAGGGGGACUGUCAUAGCCCAAUUACAGGUGAGGACAUAGGAGCUGUGAUAUCCUAACUAUGGAGUGGUCUCCUCUUUGAUCCCCUGGCAACCUGUGCAGAGCCAAACCACUGUUUUCUGUUACUGGCCACUAUGGAGGUAUUCCAGGCUGCCUCCUCUUCUUUCUUGAUACUCUAUAGAGUAGCUUCCCAUUGCUGGAGCCUGGAAACCUAACAUCAAGAAUUGCCUGUUGUCCUGGCAACCAAGGCUUGCCUGAGACCUAUGAUGUGACCCAACCCCGAGUUCUCAUUCAGCAACGCACUGCUAACCAAUGUCACUUUACCAGCCUUUGUAGAUUUCAGGUCUACACUCAACCUAGCCCUGCACCUGGCAGUUGUGUAAGGUGAGACAGCCUCAGAGUUGAGACCAAAAGGGAAGUCAACUUGGAAAAUGUGUGUCUGUGGCUCUGAGAAUGAACGAUGUCAGGGGAGUGACUCUUGUCACUCACAGAUGGGGAGAAUUUGUUCCUAGAGGAGCUGAUUUCUGAAGUAAGUUGAUGAAUCAAAUCAGGGUCCCUACAUUGGUCCUCUCAGGUGGUCAUCACUGUCUGUCAAAGAGGAGGAAGCUGAGGUCCCCAGUGGUCCCACUGCAGACCUUAGAUCUGAGGUUCUCCUGUAGGGAUCCUGCUGGCCCAGAAGAACUAGACAUCAGACUUUAAAAGUAGAUUAUGGCCUUCAUCUUCCUCAUCUCAGGCCACUGGACAUGUAUCCUAUUCUGGUCCCAGGCCCUCAAUCUGGCACGCAGAAACAGAACUUUGGUGAUGUUGUGAGAAUGCUGGGCUGCACCCUGCAGCUGAAGUGCCCCCCUUGCUCAAGAUCAUCAAUCUCACCUCAUAGGUUUUCACCAUCCUUGAGGGCACCACGAAGAUGGGCUGGAUGUUGUUUUCAGCCAGUUUGCUUGCCAGCUGGACCACUGACUGGUAGUCCUGUGGAGAAGAGACAUUUUGUCAGGAUGCCCAUCCAAAGAAAGUGCCUAGCGUUCUGAGGACUCUGGUGUCAGCUCAAGUCAGGGCUGUCCUUGUCCCGUGGCAGUACUUUCUCUGAACAAGAUGUUUAAGUAUGUGAAACAGAAUUAAUCAGAAAUGGAUGAUAUUGAAAGACAGUUAAAAAACA